CAGUCGCCGCGGGAAUACGUAGGUGGCAAGCGUUGUCCGGAAUUAUUGGGCGUAAAGGGCUCGCAGGCGGUUGUGUAAGACAGGUGUGAAAUCCCCGGGCUUAACCUGGGAACUGCGCUUGUGACUGCACAGCUAGAGUAUGGCAGAGGGGGGUGGAAUUCCACGUGUGGCAGUGAAAUGCGUAGAGAUGUGGAGGAACACCGAUGGCGAAGGCAGCCCCCUGGGCCAAUACUGACGCUCAUGCACGAAAGCGUGGGGAGCAAACAGGAUUAGAUACCCCUGUAGUCCCUGUCUCUUAUAC
rnacentral:rRNA from 1 species